AGCUUUUGGGAGGUAUCAGCACUUUUCUUUCAUUAGAGGGAAGACGUGAGGAAAGUACCAGCAGCAGCAGACAUUUAAACUUUAAAUAGACAGGUCUGAGUGCCUGAGCUUACUUUUUUCAUUUUACUUCAUCUUCCAAGGAGUUCAAUCACUUGGCGUGCCUACUUCACUUCUUUUAAGCGAAGGAGUAAGUGAAACAACAUU
rnacentral:other from 1 species